GACAUUGUGAUCUGUAGAGAGUAAAGAUUCUAGUUAGACUUUGUACUUGAACUUAAUUUGUUCUAGGGACUUUUAAAACAAAUAUGCUCCCACUAUUUUCUUGAAUCCCUCAUACUCCCCUGAUGGAGAAACGAAAACCCUACGCGACUAGGAUUUUUAGUAGGUACUGCGGUCUCACCGAUUUAUAUGCCGCCUCACCUAACAGUUAUUGGUGACAUAUAAAUAGAUGAGUGUACAACUCUUGUACAAUGCUUCUCAAGCAUAUUGCAGUGGUACUUGGUCUCUAAGUGAUGAAGACCUCACCUAACAGUUAUUGGUCCCAUUACUUAGUU
rnacentral:lncRNA from 1 species